UCUUUGCUAGUAUAUCGGUUAGUACACGCGCCUGUCAUGACGUUGGUGUGUGGGUGACACUGUACGCGCGAAAGCUGGGUUCGACUCCCAGGCAGAGAG